AUUAGAAUCAAAGAUGCAGCUGCUUUCACAUAGCAACAGGAGUCAAAAAAGAGCCGAAAGUGACAGUUUUCCUGUUCGACCACUGUUCCGUUCUGUAACUGAUUUAUGACAUUUUGGGAAAACACAGCU